UGGAGCCCUGAGGGACACCAUACAGAAGUUCAGUUUUUGAAGAACAGUCCCAGAGGGACACCAUCUGGAAUCUGCCAGAGAGGUGGUUGGAGCACCACUCUCUUUGGUUCCUGGAUUACCACCAGAUGUCAGCAACCAUCAUAAGUGGAACUGGAGAGGAAACGAAAAGUCUAUUAUCUUUACGAAAGGAAUGAGUCCUAUCCAGAUAGAAGGCCAGUGCUCAGCGAACAUCCAAUGUGUGUAGAGAGUGUUCUAAAUCAGACUGUGGGUUGCGGGAAAAGGCUGGCAGGAUCACAUCUUUGUUAAUGUGAAAACUUGUGUUUAUCUUUGGAAUAAAAGAUAUGUCCAUACGCAUGACUACUUUGUCUUUGUGAAACCUGACAUAAGGGGGUUCAGACCUUA